UACGUAGGGUGCAAGCGUUGUCCGGAAUUAUUGGGCGUAAAGAGCUCGUAGGCGGUUUGUUGCGUCGGCUGUGAAAUCCCGAGGCUCAACCUCGGGUCUGCAGUCGAUACGAGCAAACUAGAGUGUUGCAGGGGAGACUGGAAUUCCUGGUGUAGCGGUGAAAUGCGCAGAUAUCAGGAGGAACACCGGUGGCGAAGGCGGGGUCUCUGGGGCAACAACUGACGCUGGAGGAGCGAAAGCCGUGGGGAGCGAACAGG
rnacentral:rRNA from 1 species